CAAAAAUUAAACAAAAUUUGGUUUAAAAUUAUAUUUUUCGAUAUAUUUCUGCUUUUUAUUCAAGAAGCCUUGAAACAGCUUUGAAAAUAGCUAGAAAAAAAAAAGUGUAAAAUAUCUACUAGAAAUUGUCGUAAUCAGGUUUCUAUAUUGUUAGACGCCCGACGACUUUUAACUAGAGACACACAAAUGGGGAAUGAGGCAACUGUGACCCUAAAAAAUAAUAAAAUAAUUUUAAAAAUACAAUAAUUCAUAAUAAUGUGGAGACUUAAAGAUGUCUCCAGCUUGUUGGAGAGUUCCAUAAACUAACUAGUAAGCACAUCCAAUUGGCGUACCUUGUCUAAUAUCGCGUCUAAUUGGAUUGCGUUUCUAAUUAGUGUUUCACUUAGAUAUUUUGUUUCUGUUGAAAUAUGUUUAUCACACUGCUGUUUCUUGGUUUGCCCACAGUUUUUGGCAUUUAUGCCUGCAACGAAUGUUUUUGCUUUAAUGAAUUGGAAAAAUCAAACCCUGUCGAUUGUCAAAGCUAUGACAGAAAUGUGAAAAAGUUCUACUAUGGAAAUGCUGCCUGCGAGGCGCUACAGCCUGGCGACAAUUGUUAUCCGAAGGUGUUUACAAGUCUAGCUGCUUGCAAAGCGGCCUGUAAACGCUUUUUUCACUAUGCGCAGGAAUGGAAAAAGUUGCCAAUUAUUGAUUAAAAUAAACAAGACGAUAAUAAAAUGGAAAUAAAAAUGUAAA